ACAGGGUGUGGUGGUGCACGCCUGUAAUCCCAGCAGCUCAGGAGGCUGAGGCAGGAGGAUCAUGAGUUCAAAGCCAGCCUCAGCAACUUAGCAAGGCCCUAAGCAACUCAGUGAGAUUCUGUCUCUA
rnacentral:sRNA from 1 species